GACGAACGCUGGCGGCGUGCUUAACACAUGCAAGUCGAACGGAAAGGCCCUGCUUUUGUGGGGUUCUCGAGUGGCGAACGGGUGCGUAACACGUGAGUAACCUGCCCUUGACUUUGGGAUAACUUCAGGAAACUAGGGCUAAUACCGGAUAGGAUCUCCUGCUGCAUGGUGGGGGUUGGAAAGUCUAGGCUGUUGGGGCUGGAUUCGCGGCUUAUCAGCUAGUUGGUGGGGUAGUUGCUGACCAAGGCAUUGACGGGUAGGCCGCAUGGGAGGGUGACCGGCCACAAUGGGACUGCGAUACGGCCCAGACGGGUACGUGAGGCAGCAGUCGGGAAUCUUGCACAAUGGGCGGGAGCCUGAUGCAGAAACGCUGCGUGCGGGAUGACGGCCUUCGGGUUGUGAACCGCUUUAGCCUGUGACGAAGCGUGAGUGACGGUAAUGGGUGAAGAAGCACCGGCUAACUUCGUG
rnacentral:rRNA from 1 species